rnacentral:lncRNA from 1 species
ACACCAUGAGGUCAUUUAUUUUCUUGUUCUAAUCUGCCAGUUUCUCCCUUCUAUUGAAAAAGAGUUGGCACCUAUUCACAAACAGGGAUGUCAGACCUUUCAGGUUUCUGAAGCUCCUCUAAAGCUCCUUCUGCCCUCCCAGUCUGCCUGCCACUGACACUAGUGACACCCCAGCUUGGUUAUGCAAUUAGUAUGGAUACAGUUCUACAACUUGGUAAAGCUGUGAAAAUGGGCAGAUGAAUGAGCUAUAUCCAUUAACUUCUGCAGGAAUGUUUGAGUUAGAUGAGGAAACACCAAUGGAGAGCUUGUUUGUCAUGAUAGGAGUGACCAGGUUACCGUUCCUUUCUCUAAGGUCACUAAUAUUUGCCUUUCCCCAGCAGUAUAGAAGGUAAUCUGUCUUCAAGUUGUGCAUAUGGAGUCGCAGAGUGUAAUCACAGCACCCUGCAUGGCUACGAAAACAUCACAUUCAUCUCCUGGCCAGCUCAAGAAAAGAUUUGAAACUGCUGCUUGGAUUGUUUCCUUGGGCUGGGGCUUCCUCUUGCAAUGCUGAAGAUGAAUUGUUUCAGUACUCUCAGUGAUUUGUUGUGCUUGUGGACAGGCUUCUGUGUGUGCUGAGCAUUGCGUCCAGAGGUGGUUCCUUUCCGGUGCCGUGCAGAGCAUCCAGUCUUUCUCUCUCCGUGAUUCCUGGUGAAGCCUGAAAGACAGCCCGGCUCCUGCAGGACGGAAGUAGGAGAAGGAAUAAGGCCCACAAAUCCCCUGGAAUUGUGUGAAGGACGGACUACUCCUGCUCCACUGGAACUUGUGGUCUACAGAUGUCCCCAACAAGACAACACCUUCACAGAACAUCAGGCAAGGGAUUGUACUGGAAGUUUCACCAGCUUCUGCCAGCUAAGAGGAACAAGGAAUCAGGACAGCAGUUGAACCUGCAGUAGUCAUGCCAUAUAAUUGACUGAUGAAGACGAGGGCAGCUUUUCUAUCUCGUAAGGGAGCAAACAUUGGACCCUCCAUGUCUCUGAAGCCCCACCAGUUAUAUGCAGUCAAUGGGUGCCCCGAAGGAAAGAUUUGGUCUUCCUUGCCUGAGCUUGCCCUGCAAAAGGCUAUCGGUAAGAAAUAUUAUCCAAGUGACUGUGGUGUAAGUAAUGGCAUUCCUUACCCAAAGAUCACCCAAAAAAAUCAUUCUCUGUUCACGUUGAGAAGAAAGGGAAGGAAGGUGCAAAUGACUUUUGUUUCUGCUCUUUAUGUCAGAUACAGCUCACCUGUUCAUGAAGUACCAGAUAGACCUAUCGGAGUCACAGCAAUCUCUGGUUCCUGA